UACGGAGGGUGCAAGCGUUAUCCGGAUUCACUGGGUUUAAAGGGUGCGUAGGAGGGCGGAUAAGUCAGUGGUGAAAUCUUCGAGCUUAACUCGGAAACUGCCGUUGAUACUAUUUGUCUUGAAUAUCGUGGAGGUGAGCGGAAUAUGUCAUGUAGCGGUGAAAUGCUUAGAUAUGACAUAGAACACCAAUUGCGAAGGCAGCUUACUACACAAUGAUUGACGCUGAGGCACGAAAGCGUGGGGAUCAAACAGG
rnacentral:rRNA from 1 species